UGAUUGUGAAGGCGGCGGUGGGUAGGUGUGUUUGGAGUGCGAUUGGGAAAGCCGACAGGAUGUCGGCUUUAGGGAAAACAGGCCAGGGACUGGCCUUUUUUCCCGACCAAUCGUACGGAGAACACACCUACCCACUGGCGACUUUGCAAUUA
rfam:Gammaproteobacteria bacterium SCGC AG-212-F23 AG-212-F23.84, whole genome shotgun sequence.